CGGCAUCAUGACUAAGCCUUUACGUGGCGAUGCUAUAAGUAUAUCUUAUAACUAGAUAGAAACUAAUUAGUC
rnacentral:ribozyme from 1 species